GACGAACGCUGGCGGCGUGCUUAACACAUGCAAGUCGAACGGAAAGGCCCUGCUUUUGUGGGGUGCUCGAGUGGCGAACGGGUGAGUAACACGUGAGUAAUCUGCCCUUGACUUUGGGAUAACUUCAGGAAACUGGGGCUAAUACCGGAUAGGAGCUCCUGCUGCAUGGUGGGGGUUGGAAAGUUUCGGCGGUUGGGGAUGGACUCGCGGCUUAUCAGCUUGUUGGUGGGGUAGUGGCUUACCAAGGCUGUGACGGGUAGCCGGCCUGAGAGGGUGACCGGCCACAUUGGGACUGAGCUACGGCCCAGACUCCUACGGGAGGCAGCAGUGGGGAAUAUUGCACAAUGGGCGGAAGCCUGAUGCAGCAACGCCGCGUGCGGGAUGACGGCCUUCGGGUUGUAAACCGCUUUCGCCUGUGACGAAGCGUGAGUGACGGUAAUGGGUAAAGAAGCACCGGCUAACUACGUG
rnacentral:rRNA from 1 species